GCGGCCUAUCAGCUUGUUGGUGAGGUAAAGGCUCACCAAGGCGACGACGGGUAGCCGGCCUGAGAGGGCGACCGGCCGCACUGGGACUGAGACACGGCCCAGACUCCUACGGGAGGCAGCAGUAGGGAAUAUUGGGCAAUGGGCGAAAGCCUGACCCAGCGACGCCGCGUGAGGGAUGAAGGUCUUCGGAUUGUAAACCUCUUUCAGUAGGGAAGAAGCGAAAGUGACGGUACCUAAAGAAGAAGCACCGGCUAACUAUGUGCCAGCAGCCGCGGUAAUACAUAGGGUGCAAGCGUUGUCCGGAAUUAUUGGGCGUAAAGAGCUCGUAGGUCGUUUGUCGCGUCGAUUGUGAAAAUCUGAGGCUCAACCUCAGACCUGCAGUCGAUACGGGCAAACUAGAGUGUGGUAGGGGAGACUGGAAUUCCU
rnacentral:rRNA from 1 species